UACGGAGGGAGCUAGCGUUGUUCGGAAUUACUGGGCGUAAAGCGUACGUAGGCGGUGAUUCAAGUCAGAGGUGAAAGCCUGGAGCUCAACUCCAGAACUGCCUUUGAAACUAGAUCGCUAGAAUCGUGGAGAGGUGAGUGGAAUUCCGAGUGUAGAGGUGAAAUUCGUAGAUAUUCGGAAGAACACCAGUGGCGAAGGCGGCUCACUGGACACGUAUUGACGCUGAGGUACGAAAGCGUGGGGAGCAAACAGG
rnacentral:rRNA from 1 species